GCUGCUGUAACUCAAUGGGUAGAGUAACGGUUUUGUAAACCGUAUGUUGGAGGUUCAAGCCCUCUCAGUAGCUCCA
rnacentral:tRNA from 1 species